AAGGUACUCACACACGUGGUAAGGUACUCACACACGCGUGGUACGUUACUCACACACGUGGUAAGGUACUCACACACGUGGUAAGGUACUCACACACGUGGUAAGGUACUCACACACGUGUGGUAAGGUACUCACACGUGUGGUAAGGUACUCACACGCGUGGUAAGGUACUCACACACGUGGUAAGGUACUCACACACGUGGUAAGGUACUCACACGCGUGGUAAGGUACUCACACGCGUGGUAAGGUACUCACACACGUGGUAAGGUACUCACACACGUGGUAAGGUACUCACACACGUGGUAAGGUACUCACACGUGUGGUAAGGUACUCACACGCGUGGUAAGGUACUCACACACGUGGUAAGGUACUCACACACGUGGUAAGGUACUCACACACGCGUGGUAA